GCAGCGGGGUCUGUAGGGGGCUGCAGGACACGGGGGAAAGAGCACAGGUGAGAGGAGGGUCCCAGGAAGGAGCCGAGGGCUCAGGCGAAUGGGAACAACCCAUUUGUCCAUCAUGGGGUCAACACACAGUCACGUCCAACCACCGCCUAAUUUCAUACAGCCUAUGAGCUAGGAGUGGUUGUUAUAUUUAUAUAAUAGUUUGUGAAACGUGAAAAGUUACAUGAUAUUCAAACUCGGUGUCCAUAAAUAACAUUUUACCAGAGCACAACCACGUGCAUUCGCUUAGUGUUGGCCAUGACUGCCGGCCGCCACGUGGUGAAGUCAGCUAUACCCAGAGGUCUGGCUUUUGUCCUCAGCACCUAAAUGAUCUGCUGAGAGGAUCCUGCAUAAGCCUCCUGUCCCACCAUGGGGAGGUCCAUGCAGCAUGGAGCCCAGGCCUCCCUCGAGGGAGACUGGGAGGAUCCCGCCCUGUCAGGCCUUCGGAUGAGAUGGCACCCUUGGCCAACAGCAGCCCUGAGCCAAAGGCACCGACAGGCUCAGAUUUCUGAGCUGAAAUCGUGUUUGCUGUUUGAAGCCCCCAAGUGUUGGGGUGAGUCGUUCAUCAACAAUAGACAACUCCUCACACCA